AAUGGGCGAAAGCCUGACGCAGCGACGCCGCGUGAGGGACGACGGCCUUCGGGUUGUAAACCUCUUUCAGCAGGGACGAAGCCGCAAGGUGACUGUACCUGCAGAAGAAGCACCGGCUAACUACGUGCCAGCAGCCGCGGUAAUACGUAGGGUGCAAGCGUUGUCCGGAAUUAUUGGGCGUAAAGAGCUCGUAGGCGGUCUGUCGCGUCGGAUGUGAAAACCCAGGGCUCAACUCUGGGCCUGCAUUCGAUACGGGCAGACUAGAGUUCGGCAGGGGAGACUGGAAUUCCUGGUGUAGCGGUGAAAUGCGCAGAUAUCAGGAGGAACACCGGUGGCGAAGGCGGGUCUCUGGGCCGAUACUGACGCUGAGGAGCGAAAGCGUGGGGAGCAAA
rnacentral:rRNA from 1 species